rnacentral:rRNA from 1 species
GACGAACGCUGGCGGCGUGCCUAAUACAUGCAAGUUGAGCGCUGAAGGUUGGUACUUGUACCCACUGGAUGAGCAGCGAACGGGUGAGUAACGCGUGGGGAAUCUGCCUUUGAGCGGGGGACAACAUUUGGAAACGAAUGCUAAUACCGCAUAAAAACUUUACACACAAGUUUUAAGUUUGAAAGAUGCAAUUGCAUCACUCAAAGAUGAUCCCGCGUUGUAUUAGCUAGUUGGUGAGGUAAAGGCUCACCAAGGCGAUGAUACAUAGCCGACCUGAGAGGGUGAGCGGCAACAUUGGGACUGAGACACGGCCCAAAAUCCUACGGGAGGCAGCAGUAGGGAAUCUUCGGCAAUGGACGAAAGUCUGAACGAGCAACGCCGCGUGAGUGAAGAAGGUUGUCGGAUCGUAAAACUCUGUUGGUAGAGAAGAACGUUGGUGAGAGUGGAAAGCUCAUCAAGUGACGGUAACUACACAGAAAGGGACGGCUAACUACGUG